UACGGAGGGUGCAAGCGUUAUCCGGAUUUACUGGGUUUAAAGGGUGCGCAGGCGGAUAUGUAAGUCAGUGGUGAAAUCUCUGGGCUUAACCCGGAAAUUGCCAUUGAUACUAUAUAUCUUGAAUGUUGUGGAGGUAAGCGGAACAUGUCAUGUAGCGGUGAAAUGCUUAGAUAUGACAUAGAACACCUAUUGCGAAGGCAGCUUACUACGCAGAUAUUGACGCUCAUGCACGAAAGCGUGGGGAUCAAACAGG
rnacentral:rRNA from 1 species